rnacentral:rRNA from 1 species
CCAAUAGCGUAUAUUAAAGUUGUUGCAGUUAAAAAGCUCGUAGUUGAACUUCAGGCCUGGCUGGGCGGUCCGCCUUCCGGGCGAGUACUGCCUGUGGUCGGGUCCUACCUUCUGGCGAAGCGUCAUGGCCUUAACCGGCCGUGGCGGGGAACCAGGACUUUUACUGUGAAAAAAUUAGAGUGUUCAAAGCAGGCACGCGCUUGAAUACAUUAGCAUGGAAUAAUGGAAUAGGACAGUGGUUCUAUUUGUUGGUUUCUAGGACCGUUGUAAUGAUUAAUAGGGAUAGUUGGGGGCAUUAGUAUUCAAUUGUCAGAGGUGAAAUUCUUGGAUUUAUUGAAGACUAACUACUGCGAAAGCAUUUGCCAAGGAUGUUUUCAUUAAUCAAGAACGAAAGUUAGGGGAUCGAAGACGAUCAGAUACCGUCGUAGUCUUAACCAUAAACUAUGCCGACUAGGAAUCGGGCGAUGUUGACAAAAUGACGCGCUCGGCACCUCAUG